rnacentral:rRNA from 1 species
AGAGUUCGAUCCUGGCUCAGGAUGAACGCUGGCGGCGUGCCUAACACAUGCAAGUCGAACGGUUAAAGCCCCUUCGGGGGUGCAUAGAGUGGCGAACGGCUGAGUAACACGUGGGCAACCUGCCCCCCGCACCGGGACAGCCUCGGGAAACCGUGGUUAAUACCGGAUACUCCGCCACCCCCGCAUGGGGGCGGCGGGAAAGCCCAGGCGGAGGGGGAUGGGCCCGCGGCCUGUUAGCUCGUUGGCGGGGUAACGGCCCACCAAGGCGAUGAUGGGUAGCCGGGUUGAGAGACCGACCGGCCAGAUUGGGACUGAGACACGGCCCAGACUCCUACGGGAGGCAGCAGUGGGGAAUCUUGCACAAUGGGCGAAAGCCUGAUGCAGCGACGCCGCGUGCGGGACGAAGGCCUUCGGGUCGUAAACCGCUUUCAGCAGGGACGAGGCCGAAAGGUGACGGUACCUGCAGAAGAAGCCCCGGCUAACUACGUGCCAGCAGCCGCGGUAAUACGUAGGGGGCGAGCGUUAUCCGGAUUCAUUGGGCGUAAAGCGCGCGCAGGCGGCCUGCUCGGUCGGGAGUCAAAUCCGGGGGCUCAACCCCCGCCCGCUCCCGAUACCGGCGGGCUUGAGUCUGGUAGGGGAAGGCGGAAUUCCCAGUGUAGCGGUGGAAUGCGCAGAUAUUGGGAAGAACACCGGUGGCGAAGGCGGCCUUCUGGGCCACGACUGACGCUGAGGCGCGAAAGCUAGGGGAGCGAACAGGAUUAGAUACCCUGGUAGUCCUAGCCGUAAACGAUGGACACUAGGUGUGGGGGGAGGAUCCCUCCGUGCCGCAGCCAACGCAUUAAGUGUCCCGCCUGGGGAGUACGGCCGCAAGGCUAAAACUCAAAG